GUAGCUGACCAAUGGGAGGAUUGUUCGUGGAGAGGACCACGCGUCAGUCAUCCCAAGGCACAGAAGAGGGAUGCACGUGUUGGUUGAUCAGGAUACUGCGCAGUUUGUUUUCUUGAUUUUCUUCCUUGUGUUCCUUGAUGAAGGUUUGGCAGAGGCUGGACGGGCGGGGGACGCAACACACACUGAUCCUUCAUGCCUCACCACCACCACCACCACCACCGCCAGCUAGUGCUACACCCUUCGCUGGAUAACUAAUAUUUGCUCGCACGGAUCUUGAAGUGCAGCUGCUCGGGCGGCCGCCUCACACACCUUGGCCGGAUCACAGCGGGUCACACUUGCCAGGUUAAUGAACG